GAUGAACGCUGGCGGCGUGCCUAAUACAUGCAAGUCGAGCGAACAGACGAGGAGCUUGCUCCUCUGACGUUAGCGGCGGACGGGUGAGUAACACGUGGAUAACCUACCUAUAAGACUGGGAUAACUUCGGGAAACCGGAGCUAAUACCGGAUAACAUGUUGAACCGCAUGGUUCAACAGUGAAAGACGGUCUUGCUGUCACUUAUAGAUGGAUCCGCGCCGCAUUAGCUAGUUGGUAAGGUAACGGCUUACCAAGGCAACGAUGCGUAGCCGACCUGAGAGGGUGAUCGGCCACACUGUAACUGAGACACGGUCCAGACUCCUACGGGAGGCAGCAGUAGGGACUCUUCCGCAAUGGGCGAAAGCCUGACGGAGCAACGCCGCGUGAGUGAAGAAGGUCUUCGGAUCGUAAAACUCUGUUAUUAGGGAAGAACAAAUGUGUAAGUAACUAUGCACGUCUUGACGGUACCUAAUCAGAAAGCCACGGCUAACUACGUG
rnacentral:rRNA from 1 species